UACGAAGGGGGCUAGCGUUGCCCGGAAUCACUGGGCGUAAAGCGCACGUAGGCGGGUCUUUAAGUCAGGGGUGAAAUCCUGGAGCUCAACUCCAGAACUGCCUUUGAUACUGAGGAUCUCGAGUCCGGGAGAGGUGAGUGGAACUCCGAGUGUAGAGGUGAAAUUCGUAGAUAUUCGGAAGAACACCAGUGGCGAAGGCGGCUCACUGGCCCGGUACUGACGCUGAUGUGCGAAAGCGUGGGGAGCAAACAGG
rnacentral:rRNA from 1 species